rnacentral:rRNA from 1 species
AUUGAACGCUGGCGGCAGGCCUAACACAUGCAAGUCGAGCGGAUGAAGGGAGCUUGCUCCUGGAUUCAGCGGCGGACGGGUGAGUAAUGCCUAGGAAUCUGCCUGGUAGUGGGGGAUAACGUCCGUAAACGGGCGCUAAUACCGCAUACGUCCUGAGGGAGAAAGUGGGGGAUCUUCGGACCUCACUCUAUCAGAUGAGCCUAGGUCGGAUUAGCUAGUUGGUGGGGUAAAGGCCUACCAAGGCGACGAUCCGUAACUGGUCUGAGAGGAUGAUCAGUCACACUGGAACUGAGAGACGGUCCAGAAUCCUACGGGGGGCAGCAGUGGGAAAUGUUGGACCAUGGGCGAAAGCCUGAUCAAGCCAUGCCGCGUGAGUGAAGAAGGUCUUCGGAUUGUAAAGCGCUUUAAGUUGGGAGGAAGGGCAGUAAGUUAAUACCUUGUUGUUUUGACGUUACCAACAGAAUAAGCACCGGCUAACUUCGUG